rnacentral:rRNA from 1 species
UUCUGGGGGGAGUAUGGUCGCAAGACUGAAACUUAAAGAAAUUGACGGAAGGGCCCACCAGGCGUGGAGCCUGCGGCUUAACUUGACUCAACACGGGGAAACUCACCAGGUCCAGACACAAUAAGGAUUGACAGAUUGAGAGCUCUUUCUUGAUUUUGUGGGUGGUGGUGCAUGGCCGUUCUUAGUUGGUGGAGUGAUUUGUCUGCUUAAUUGCGAUAACGAGCGAGACCUUAACCUGCUAAAUAGCCAGGCCCGCUUUGGCGGGUCGCCGGCUUCUUAGAGGGACUAUCGGCUCAAGCCGAUGGAAGUUUGAGGCAAUAACAGGUCUGUGAUGCCCUUAGAUGUUCUGGGCCGCACGCGCGCUACACUGACAGAGCCAACGAGUUCAUUUCCUUAGCCGAAAGGUUUGGGUAAUCUUGUUAAACUCUGUCGUGC